ACUCCUACGGGAGGCAGCAGUGGGGAAUAUUGCACAAUGGGCGCAAGCCUGAUGCAGCCAUGCCGCGUGUAUGAAGAAGGCCUUCGGGUUGUAAAGUACUUUCAGCAGUGAGGAAGGGUGGGUAUGUUAAUAGCAUAUUCAUUUGACGUUAGCUGCAGAAGAAGCACCGGCUAACUCCGUGCCAGCAGCCGCGGUAAUACGGAGGGUGCGAGCGUUAAUCGGAAUUACUGGGCGUAAAGCGCAUGCAGGUGGUUUGUUAAGUCAGAUGUGAAAGCCGGCU
rnacentral:rRNA from 1 species